AUUGAACGCUGGCGGCAGGCCUAACACAUGCAAGUCGAGCGGAUGAAGGGAGCUUGCUCCUGGAUUCAGCGGCGGACGGGUGAGUAAUGCCUAGGAAUCUGCCUGGUAGUGGGGGAUAACGUCCGGAAACGGGCGCUAAUACCGCAUACGUCCUGAGGGAGAAAGUGGGGGAUCUUCGGACCUCACGCUCUCGGAUGAGCCUAGGUCGGAUUAGCUAGUUGGUGGGGUAAAGGCCUACCAAGGCGACGAUCCGUAACUGGUCUGAGAGGAUGAUCAGUCACACUGGAACUGAGACACGGUCCAGACUCCUACGGGAGGCAGCAGUGGGGAAUAUUGGACAAUGGGCGAAAGCCUGAUCCAGCCAUGCCGCGUGUGUGAAGAAGGUCUUCGGAUUGUAAAGCACUUUAAGUUGGGAGGAAGGGCAGUAAGUUAAUACCUUGCUGUUUUGACGUUACCAACAGAAUAAGCACCGGCUAACUUCGUG
rnacentral:rRNA from 1 species